UCCAUCGCGGUGCAGUUGGAAGCACGCCAGACCGCACACAGGCCCCGGGAUGCUCCCGUCGCAGACCCCGAUUUACCUGGACCCGGUGGACUCGUGAAUGAUUGGCCGCUUUUCUCCAACAGGAGGAUGGCCUGUUACAUCUGGAAACCCGAGUUCGAUUCUCGGCGAUGGGA